rnacentral:rRNA from 1 species
CCUACGGGAGGCAGCAGUAGGGAAUCUUCCACAAUGGGCGAAAGCCUGAUGGAGCAACGCCGCGUGAGUGAUGAAGGCCUUCGGGCUGUAAAACUCUGUCAUUCGGGACGAACCGGAGUCUGAGGAAAUACAGACUCUCUGACGGUACCGGAGGAGGAAGCCCCGGCUAACUACGUGCCAGCAGCCGCGGUAAUACGUAGGGGGCAAGCGUUGUCCGGAUUCACUGGGCGUAAAGCGCGCGCAGGCGGUGAUGUAAGUCUGAGGUGAAAACCCGAAGCUCAACUUCGGGACUGCCUUGGAUACUGCGUCACUUGAGGAUAGGAGAGGCAAGGGGAAUUCCACGUGUAGCGGUGAAAUGCGUAGAGAUGUGGAGGAACACCUGUGGCGAAGGCGCCUUGCUGGCCUAUUUCUGACGCUGAGGCGCGAAAGCGUGGGGAGCAAACAGGAUUAGAUACCCUGGUAGUCCACGCUGUAAACGAUGAGUGCUAGGUGUAGGUGGGCUCAUACCCAUCUGUGCCGAAGCUAACGCAUUAAGCACNCCGCCGCGGGAGGUACGGUCGCGACGACGUAGAACGUACGAAGGAAGUUAGUACGGACGUUAGGAGACGNGGACCGACGGACGACGACGAGGGGAGGUUAGG